rnacentral:tRNA from 1 species
GUCACUGUGGCGCAAUAGGUUUGUGCGUUCGUCUGUUAACCGAAAGGAUGAUGGUUCAAACCCAUCUUGGAGCA